rnacentral:rRNA from 1 species
ACGGGAGGCAGCAGUGGGGAAUAUUGGACAAUGGGGGAAACCCUGAUCCAGCGACGCCGCGUGAGUGAAGAAGUAUUUCGGUAUGUAAAGCUCUAUCAGCAGGGAAGAUAAUGACGGUACCUGACUAAGGAGCCCCGGCUAACUACGUGCCAGCAGCCGCGGUAAUACGUAGGGGGCAAGCGUUAUCCGGAUUUACUGGGUGUAAAGGGAGCGUAGACGGAAGGCCAAGUCUGAUGUGAAAACCCAGGGCUCAACCCUGGGACUGCAUUGGAAACUGGUCAUCUAGAGUGCAGGAGGGGUAAGCGGAAUUCCUAGUGUAGCGGUGAAAUGCGUAGAUAUUAGGAGGAACACCGGUGGCGAAGGCGGCUUACUGGACUGUAACUGACGUUGAGGCUCGAAAGCGUGGGGAGCAAACAGGAUUAGAUACCCUGGUA